GACGAACGCUGGCGGCGUGCUUAACACAUGCAAGUCGAGCGGAGCGGCGAACGGGUGAGUAACGCGUUAGUAACUGCCCCCCUCUCUGGGAUAACAGUUGGAAACGGCUGCUAAUACCGGAUAGUGGGGGAUGACUCGGGUCCUAUCAGCUUGUUGGUGGGGUAGUGGCCUACCAAGGCGACGACGGGUAGCCGGCCUGAGAGGGCGACCGGCCACAAGGGGCUGAGAUACGGCGCAAAGGCCAACGGGAGGCAGCAGUGGGGAAUAUGGGGCAAUGGGGGAAACCGUGAGGAAGCAACGCCGCGGGCGGGAUGACGGCCUUGGGGUUGUAAACCGCUUUCAGCCAUGACGCGGUAGUGGCAGAAGAAGCACCGGCUAACUACGUGCCAGCCGCCGCGGUAAUAC
rnacentral:rRNA from 1 species